CCCAGCAGUGCCGUGGAGCCGGGCCCCCAGCCCCUCCCAGCAGCCUGCUCCUCCACCUCUUACUGAGGUCUGGGGAGAAUGCUGGAGAGGUUUACUGUGAAAAACUGGAAAUAUUCACCACACCUGUUUAUUUAAAUCCUUCGCCUCCCCACCCCACCCCAGGGGCUUCCCCCUGGCACCUCCCCCUCAGGCCCGUCUGGGCCAUUUCUUAGGCCCGCAGCUGGCAUCCCUGCCACACCCUUCCCUUUGCUGCCCUCCUCUGGGAUGCCAGGCCCCUCACCUAUGCAAGCCCCUUGGAGGCCCGCACCUUGGUUUUUAAAUUUUGUGUUAUUUUUCUUAAAGAUGGGUCCCAAAUUAUACAAGCUUCAGACCCCACAAAGCCUGUGGAAAUGUCCUGCCUGCCAUCCCCGACUCCUCCACUGGGUUUUCUUGUCAAGGAAAAGACCUCACCAACCUCGUUCAUGCAAAAACUCUAGGGGUGACUUUCUACCUCGUCCUCUGCCUUGGCCCCCACCUUUGCAUCCGGUCGGGUCUGCCCCCAAAGUCCCCUCCAAGCCGUGCGUUUCCUUCUACCCCGCGUCACUGCCCGGGUCAAGGCCGUGUGGUCUCUCGCCUGGUUCCUGUGAAAGCUGCCUAGAAAACUUCCACGGCUGUCCCUGCUGGUGUGUCCAGCUCAGGAGGUCACAAGUCUGACCGUGCUCUGCCCAUUGCCCCUGGAAAGGGGCCGAACCCCUAGUGCCGGCUGAAAAGCCCCGUGAGACUGGCCCGUGUGCUCCUCUCCGCACAACCCUCAGCCCGGCUGCUCUUGCCACUCCCCCUCCACGUUUGUCAUCUUCAGGGUGCUCCCCACAAGUGCCAUGCCCUCAGGAGAGUCCUCCGCAGACUAGGCCGAGUGCCCCGAGCUACACUGCCUGGUUACUCUGUGAGCACUAGACUCGAUUGCAAGGAUAUCAUUGCUUGCUGUCUGCACAGCCAUGACCAGCCCCAUACAGGCUGACGGGCUUGUCUCCAUCCACCCCAGAGCCCACCGCUGCCGUGGCUACAGCAGGCACUCAGCAGACCUGGUAGGGAGAUGGGUGGACGGCUGGGUGACAAUGGGUAAUGGAGCUCUUCUCAUCUGGGCCAAAACGCCAGGUGUGCAGAGGGGCCGGGGCCUCGGUGACCCAAGUGUGUGAAACGAAAAUGUCUGAAAGUGCCUCUCGGCACAUCUGACAAGCAGUCCCCAAACUCAGCCUUUCUCAGGGCUGGGAACAUAAGAGAAGGGCAUCUACUGGCAGAACAAAAGAACCGGAGACCCUUGGACUCAACUCGCUGAGCGUUCGCUGCGCAUGUGUAACUGUCCGUGCAUCUGUGAACAUUUGUGUGAGUGUACUGAGGCAGGUCGUAUGAGGGUACCGAGGCAGGGCGUGUGAGUGUACUGAGGUGGGACAUGUGAGUGUACCAAGACAAAGAGUGUGAGUGUACCGAGGCGGGCGUGUGAGUGUACUGAGUGUGCGUGUGAGUGUACCGAGGCGGUGUGUAAGUGUACCAAGGUAGGGUGUGUGAGUGUACCGAGGCAGGGUGUGUGAGUGUACUGAGGCAGGGUGUAUGAGUGUACUGACACUGUGUGAGUGUACCAAGCUGGUGUGAGUGUACCGAGACAUGGUUUGUGAGUGUACCAAGAUGAGGAGUGUGAGUGUACCGAGGCAAGGUGUGUGAGUGUACUGAGGUGGGGUGUGUGAGUGUACUGAGGCGGGUUGUGUGAGUGUACCGAGUAGGCAUGGGUGUACCGAGGCAGGGUGAGUGAGUGUGACGAGUCAGGGUGAGUGUACUGAGGCAGGGUGUGUGAGUGUACCGAGGUGGUGUGUGUGGGUGUUUCGAGGUGGUGUGAGUGUACCGUUGUGAGAUGUGUGAGUGUCCUGAGGCAGUGUGAGUGUAACAAGGCAGUGUGUGUGAGUGUAAUGGGGCAGUGUGUGUGAGUGUACCAAAGCGGGGUGUGCGAGUGUACCGAGGAGGGGUGUGUGAGUGUACCGAGGUGGGGUGUUUGAGUGUACCGAGGCAGUAUGUGUGAGUGUGCCAAGGUGGUGUGUGUGAUUGUACCAAGGCGGGUUUUGUGAUUGUACCAAGGCAGGGUGUGUGAGUGUACCGAGGUGGGGU
rnacentral:lncRNA from 1 species